rnacentral:rRNA from 1 species
CCUACGGGAGGCUGCAGUGGGGAAUAUUGGGCAAUGGGCGCAAGCCUGACCCAGCAACGCCGCGUGAAGGAAGAAGGCUUUCGGGUUGUAAACUUCUUUUCUCAGGGACGAAGCAAGUGACGGUACCUGAGGAAUAAGCCACGGCUAACUACGUGCCAGCAGCCGCGGUAAUACGUAGGUGGCAAGCGUUAUCCGGAUUUACUGGGUGUAAAGGGCGUGUAGGCGGGAAAGCAAGUCAGAUGUGAAAACCAUGGGCUCAACCUGUGGCCUGCAUUUGAAACUGUUUUUCUUGAGUACUGGAGAGGCAGACGGAAGUCCUAGUGUAGCGGUGAAAUGCGUAGAGAUUAGGAGGAACACCAGUGGCGAAGGCGGUCUGCUGGACAGCAACUGACGCUGAGGCGCGAAAGCGUGGGGAGCAAACAGGAUUAGAUACCCGGGUAGUC